UGAAAGGGUGCAGAUGAAAAACAUCUU
rnacentral:piRNA from 1 species